CACACAUACACACACAAGUACAGGUGAACACAGGCACACACACACACCCCACUCAAGGACAGGUGAACGCAGGCACACACACACAUUCCCCCACACAAGUGACAAAAAAGUUUCAAACGCACACACACACACAUAAACUUACCACCCUUACCACAUAUUGACACUUUUAUAAACCACUUCAUUUUUAUAAAAACAUGAUUAUAAUAGUCUAGAACUUUUCAUUGUGAAGGAAGCUCAAAAAAUCAUAAACACGAAAGAAUAGAAAUAAGCACUAGAGAUGGAGGAAGAUCAAGUUACCAAAGUGGGGAAGACUGAUUGAGGGUUCACAUAGCCUAAUCAUGAAAAAGACACCAGACAAAUUCCAAUUGAAGGACAUUCUAGAGAAUACCUGACCAGAACUCCUCAAACCUGUCAAGAUGAUCAAAACCAAGGAAAAUCACAGACACUGUCAUGACCAAAAGGAGCCUAUGGAGACACAGCUACUAAAUAUAAUGUGGUUUCCUGGAUGGGAUCCUGGAAAGAGCCCAAGGGAAACAUAGCCAUGGGACAUCUUUCUUCAAUGAAGUCUACAUUUACAGCAACCAAGCGCACACAACUCCAUUUCCUGUUUAUGUAAGACUUCUUGCUACUGGAUGCAGGGAAAAUAUAUCCCUCUUAUUGGCUUUCCCAUAAAGGUAUCUCCCACUCACCAAUGCCCUAUUCUUUUCAGGUAAGAUUCAUUCACGUGACAACUGAUUACCAAAAGACUGUAUUGGGGCAAACCUCAUGUUUUUUGUGUCUUGUCAUUCUAUAGGGAGGGAAAUGUCUCUUGCCUAAUACUUCACUUUGUUCCAUGCCCACUGUGUUCCAUAGUUUGGGAAAGCAUACUUUAAAUCCAGCGUGGGAUCUGUUUGAGUGAUCCCUGGAUUUGUAUUGGUUUUGUUUUCUGAAGCAGGUUUGUCUUAGUGGGUGCCCUUUAGAGAUCACUUUUGUUAUAAAAUGAACCAAGAUUAAUAGCCAGCUCCAUGUCAUGUGUUUGCAUGUCUUCAGCUGACGAAUUUCAAAUGACCUUCUUGUUCUGCCAAUACAUUGUGGAGAUACCAUCACUGAAAGCCGGCCCUUGCUACUGCUGACUCUGUCAUAUGGGGAAGGGGACAGUGUGUAAUUCUGCCUGUGGUAAUCUGCUUGUGGCAGUGAUUUUAUAGCCUGCAAACUUUUGCUUAUUGUACCCAGAUGUUGUAUGAUACUUUGCCAAAAAUACAUCUUUUAAAGAAUCUGUCUUAACUCUUUGUUUUGAGAUAAUUUUAUGCUUACAAUAUUUGUCUCAUCAUGUUCUCUCUCUGUCUCUGUAUGUAAACAUUUUUGAACCAUUUGAGAGUAAGUUGCAAAGAAAAUACGCCAUUACCUUAGUGUACAAUUCCUAAAAAUAAGGGUAUUUUCUUACAAAACCAGAGUACAAUUUUCAAAAUCAGAACAUUUAUGUAAGUGCAGUUCUAUUAUCUAAUACAUAGACUUUAGUCAAGUUUUGUAAUUUUUUACUGGCCCAGGAUCAAUCUGGUAUUCAUGUUGCCCUUGGUUUUCUUGUCUCA
rnacentral:lncRNA from 10 species